ACUGCUCAGUAACACGUGGAUAACCUGCCCUUGGGACCGGCAUAACCCCGGGAAACUGGGGAUAAUUCCGGAUAACGCAUAUUUGCUGGAAUGCUUUAUGCGUCAAAAGGAUUCGUCUGCCCAAGGAUGGGUCUGCGGCCUAUCAGGUAGUAGUGGGUGUAAUGUACCUACUAGCCAGCGACGGGUACGGGUUGUGAGAGCAAGAGCCCGGAGAUGGAUUCUGAGACAUGAAUCCAGGCCCUACGGGGCGCAGCAGGCGCGAAAACUUUACAAUGCGGGAAACCGUGAUAAGGGGACACCGAGUGCCAGCAUCAUAUGCUGGCUGUCCGGAUGUGUAAAAUACAUCCGUUAGCAAGGGCCGGGCAAGACCGGUGCCAGCCGCCGCGGUAACACCGGCGGCCCGAGUGGUGAUCGUGAUUAUUGGGUCUAAAGGGUCCGUAGCCGGUUUGGUCAGUCCUCCGGGAAAUCUGAUAGCUUAACUAUUAGGCUUUCGGGGGAUACUGCCAGACUUGGAACCGGGAGAGGUAAGAGGUACUACAGGGGUAGGAGUGAAAUCUUGUAAUCCCUGUGGGACCACCUGUGGCGAAGGCGUCUUACCAGAACGGGUUCGACGGUGAGGGACGAAAGCUGGGGGCACGAACCGGAUUAGAUACCCGGGUAGUCCCAGCCGUAAACGAUGCUCGCUAGGUGUCAGGCAUGGCGCGACCGUGUCUGGUGCCGCAGGGAAGCCGUGAAGCGAGCCACCUGGGAAGUACGGCCGCAAGGCUGAAACUUAAAGGAAUUGGCGGGGGAGCAC
rnacentral:rRNA from 1 species